rnacentral:rRNA from 1 species
GUCUACGGCCAUGCCACCCCAAACAAGACCGAUCCCGUCUGAUCUCGGAAGCUAAGCAGGGUCGGGCCUGGUUAGUACUUGGAUGGGAGACCACCUAGGAAGACCAGGUGCUGUAGGCG